CCGAGUUGUCGCAAGACAAUCUCCCUUUCUUGAUGUGGACUAUGUUGCCUUGCCUUCGGGCAGGAUGAUUCUGAAUCAGUGUCGUCUGAGUUUUAUUUAAUCAAUCA
rnacentral:misc_RNA from 1 species